rnacentral:rRNA from 1 species
UACGUAGGGUGCAAGCGUUGUCCGGAAUUAUUGGGCGUAAAGAGCUCGUAGGCGGUCUGUCGCGUCUGCUGUGAAAAUCCAGGGCUCAACCCUGGACCUGCAGUGGGUACGGGCAGACUAGAGUGCGGUAGGGGAGAUCGGAAUCCUGGUGUAGCGGUGAAAUGCGCAGAGAUCGGGAGGAACACCAGCGGCGAAGGCGGCGACCUGGACAGACACUGACACUCAACUGCGAAAGCGUGGGGAGCAAACAGG